rnacentral:rRNA from 1 species
CGAUCGGCCACACUGGGACUGAGACACGGCCCAGACUCCUACGGGAGGCAGCAGUGGGGAAUAUUGCACAAUGGGCGGAAGCCUGAUGCAGCGACGCCGCGUGAGGGAUGACGGCCUUCGGGUUGUAAACCUCUUUCGACUCCGACGAAGCGAGAGUGACGGUAGGAGUAUAAGAAGCACCGGCCAACUACGUGCCAGCAGCCGCGGUAAUACGUAGGGUGCGAGCGUUGUCCGGAAUUACUGGGCGUAAAGAGCUUGUAGGCGGCUUGUCGCGUCGAUCGUGAAAACUCGGGGCUCAACCCCGAGCUUGCGGUCGAUACGGGCAGGCUUGAGUACUUCAGGGGAGACUGGAAUUCCUGGUGUAGCGGUGAAAUGCGCAGAUAUCAGGAGGAACACCGGUGGCGAAGGCGGGUCUCUGGGAAGUAACUGACGCUGAGAAGCGAAAGCGUGGGUAGCGAACAGGAUUAGAUACCCUGGUAGUCCACGCCGUAAACGGUGGGUACUAGGUGUGGGUUUCCUUCCACGGGAUCCGUGCCGUAGCUAACGCAUUAAGUACCCCGCCU